rnacentral:rRNA from 1 species
GACGAACGCUGGCGGCGUGCUUAACACAUGCAAGUCGAACGGAAAGGCCCUGCUUUUGUGGGGUGCUCGAGUGGCGAACGGGUGAGUAACACGUGAGUAACCUGCCCUUGACUUUGGGAUAACUUCAGGAAACUGGGGCUAAUACCGGAUAGGAGCUCCUGCUGCAUGGUGGGGGUUGGAAAGUUUCGGCGGUUGGGGAUGGACUCGCGGCUUAUCAGCUUGUUGGUGGGGUAGUGGCUUACCAAGGCUUUGACGGGUAGCCGGCCUGAGAGGGUGACCGGCCACAUUGGGACUAAGGUACGGCCCAGACUCCUACGGGGGGCAGCGGGGGGGAAUAUUGCACAAUGGGCGGAAGCCUGAUGCAGCAACGCCGCGUGCGGGAUGACGGCCUUCGGGUUGUAAACCGCUUUCGCCUGUGACGAAGCGUGAGUGACGGUAAUGGGUAAAGAAGCACCGGCUAACUACGUG